rnacentral:ncRNA from 1 species
UAUAAAUUUAAUUUUUGUUUUAUAAUUAAUUAUAUGAUUGUUUUACAGAUAAAACUUAAGUAUUUAAAUAAUUUAAAAUGUAUUAUUAAUAUUUAAUAUAACUAAUUUCAUUAACGUGAAUGUAGGAAUUAAUUUUAAAUUUAAAUAAACUCAGUGCCAGCAUUUGCGGUUAUACUGGAAAGUUAAUUUAAUUGAUUUUUAUUACUAAAUUUAUGUUUUUUAUUUUUUUAAAUUUACAUUAAUCUUAUUUUGGUGAAAUAUAUAAGAUCUAAUAAUUUUGAUUUGAUUAAAUUUGAUAAAUCUCAUAAAAAACUAGGAUUAGAUACCCUAUUAUUGUGAUGAAUGAGAGUUUGAUUUAAAAAGUAGUUAUUAUUUAAUUAAAUUUAAAAAAUUUGGCGGUGUUUUAAACAUUAGAGGAGCUUGUCAGGUAAGCGAUAAUCCACGGUAAGAUAGGCUUAGGGAGAAACUUAUGUAUUGUUGUUUUAAAAUUAAAUCAUUAGAUUUGGUUGAUUAAUUUUAUUUUUAUAGAAAUUCAAAUCUAAAUGUAGUUUACCUAAGACUCUAGAUGAGCUACGUUAUUUUAUUAAUUUAUUGUCUAUUUAUUUUAAUUGUUUAUGGGCUAAUAGGAUUUAAUUGUAAAUUAAAGUAAUUAUUUUAAUUGAAUUAAAUUAUUAACAUGUACAAAUUGCCCGUCAUUCUUGCUUUUAAGGUGGGAGAAGUCGUAACAUAGUUAAUGUACUGGAAAGUGCAUUUUGUUGAUU